AUCUGGACCUUAAGUUAUAGGAAUUGUUAGUAUGCUAUAAGUAUUCCUUGAAAAACUAUGCCUCUCUGAAACUAUUCUAUAAAUUACUUUGCUCUUGUUAUUCAUUGUAUUUAUAUGUAGGUAAAGAUUGCUUCUAAAGAUCUGAGAAUUUCUAACAGAAAAGUGGCAUUGUUUGGUAGGGGUAGUAUUCCAUUCACUUAGUGAACACCUGCCUCGUGCUCUCUCCUCACUGGAGGAGCGCAGGGAGCAGAGAAGAAGAAAACCACAUCUCGGCUUAACGUUCUCCUGGAGAAAGCACUGGGAAAACAAGCGGAUCCCUACGACACUGGUCAUGACACAGGCCGUGGAGUCAGGUCCUGUAAGGACACAAAGGCAGCGAUACCGGAGAGAGUGCUGGGAGGAGCUGCGUAACACCUGAGACAGAGCGCGUCCUCCAGACCAUGGAGAGAGUCGAAGGUUCUGAGACUAGAAGAGGAGUGUUUUGUGUUUCCAAGGAAUAAAGAGACAGCCCUCAUCGCUAGAGCAUAGCGAACCAAGAUUGUGGUAAAGAUGCCCUAGAAAGCAAAGGAGCAGGUGCUCACCACGCCCAGAGCUGGAUUCCAAGCACGGUGACCAGCCAUUCUCACAAUCUCUUCUGGAGACAGUAUGAUCUAAUUUAAGUUCAGGCCAAAAUCACUCGUGACUGCUGUAUGGGGAAGUGGCUAGGGGAGGCCAGAGAAGAACAAAAAAGCAGCUAGGAAACUCCCUCAGGGAUCGACUAACUAAGGUGAUAAUUCUGGUCAGAGAAAAAUUACUCAGAAUUAAGAUACAUUUAGGAGAAAGAACCAUCAGGCCUCUGAAUGUAAACAGGAGAAAAUCUUAAGACCUCGGUUAGGCACAGUUCUUAGAUUCCAAUCCAAAGGAUCUAAAAAUUUUUCACUAAAUACAUAAAUGUGGAGAUUGGACUUUAAAAUAAUUAGAAAUUUGUACUCUAAGUCUCAGGCCGAGGAGCUGGUGCAGGGGAGAAACUGUGUUCCAUACAAACCCGAGGACUCUAAAUACUUAUAUUAUAUAUCCCAUGUGCCCUGCUGGUGUGCAGCCUGCCUGUAAUCCCAGCUGACUAGCUAGACUAGCCAGAAAUGGAGAGCUCUGAGUUCAAGGGAGAGACCCGGCCUCCAUAGAUAAGGUAUAGAGCAGUCAAGAUAGCUAUUGUGAACUACUGGACUUUGCAGUCACACAUACAUGCAAACAGUAUGCUUACAUCCCACACACACACACUUGCAGAAAUAAAUAAACUACUAAAAUAUGAAAGGACAAAAUGCAGAUGGUGGGAAUAUAUUUCCAUAUCAUAUAUCUAUUGAAAGAACUUGUAAGAGGAAAUAAAAAGAAUUCUGACUAAGUCAAUAACAAGACAAAUAAUAAAUUUUAAAAAUUGGAGAUUAGAGUUUCAUCAAAGAAAAUAUAUAAUUGAUGAAAAAGCAUAUAAAAGGGCUUUUUACAUCACUAGGAAAUACAUACAGUGAGAUACCAAUUGAAGCCCAUUAAAACAGGUACAGUAAGAAAGACAAAUAAUGACAUGUUGGUGUGAUUGAAAGCAAUGAAACCCUCAGGUAUUGCUGAUUGUGUAUGCCUAAUCAUAUAGGCAUGCUUCAUAUAACCAGCAAAUACUUUAAUAGCCAUAUAAACAUUUUUAUCCAAGGAAGAAUCUAGGAUUUAUGAUAAAAAAAUCAAGCAUCGCUAGCUCACAAGUAAUUUAGACUAGAUCACCCUAGAUGGAGAAUUUAGCCUGACAGCAAAGAAUAAAAUAUCCAUAUUAGACCUCUGAGGCAUUUCUCAGAAAUUGUGUGAAAAAACAAGAAAAUAGCAAAGGAAGGACAUCCACGGUGUAGUCUCAUAUGUCUAGGAAGGAGCCAGAAGGAAAAGGGAGUGUGGCCAGUCACGUCUGACUGUCGUGUGAGCAGGUCCCCAGCCGAGUGCAGCAGGAAAAGGCUAGAGCAGGAGACUCUGAUGAAGUCAGGUGUUUGAGGCCAACUUGGGUAAUAAAGAUCCAAGU